GGGAUAACACUUGGAAACAGGUGCUAAUACCGUAUAACACUAUUUUCCGCAUGGAAGAAAGUUGAAAGGCGCUUUUGCGUCACUGAUGGAUGGACCCGCGGUGCAUUAGCUAGUUGGUGAGGUAACGGCUCACCAAGGCCACGAUGCAUAGCCGACCUGAGAGGGUGAUCGGUCACACUGGGACUGAGACACGGCCCAGACUCCUACGGGAGGCAGCAGUAGGGAAUCUUCGGCAAUGGACGAAAGUCUGACCGAGCAACGCCGCGUGAGUGAAGAAGGUUUUCGGAUCGUAAAACUCUGUUGUUAGAGAAGAACAAGGAUGAGAGUAGAAUGUUCAUCCCUUGACGGUAUCUAACCAGAAAGCCACGGCUAACUACGUGCCAGCAGCCGCGGUAAUACGUAGGUGGCAAGCGUUGUCCGGAUUUAUUGGGCGUAAAGCGAGCGCAGGCGGUUUCUUAAGUCUGAUGUGAAAGCCCCCGGCUCAACCGGGGAGGGUCAUUGGAAACUGGGAGACUUGAGUGCAGAAGAGGAGAGUGGAAUUCCAUGUGUAGCGGUGAAAUGCGUAGAUAUAUGGAGGAACACCAGUGGCGAAGGCGGCUCUCUGGUCUGUAACUGACGCUGAGGCUCGAAAGCGUGGGGAGCGAACAGGAUUAGAUACCCU
rnacentral:rRNA from 1 species